rnacentral:lncRNA from 10 species
CCCGCCACGGAGUGGGCGGGACGCCAGGCAGGCGGGGGACGCGGCGGCUGCCAGCCAAGGGGCCGGAGCCAAGAGAUUUGCAUUGGAAGCGCCAUCCUCUUGCGCGUCUGAUGAGGAAGCAGAACCCGGUGACCGACUGAGCUGCAUUUCUGAAGCAUUUGCUGGGUUUUGCCUCACUAAGCCUCGGGGAGCACUGGGGCGCGGGAUGGGGGACCCUGUCACGGAGCCGACACCUGCUCGCGCGCCUCUCCCCCGCUCACGCCGUGCCGCGGGCUCGCCCUCCCCAUCUGCAGCGCCCGCAGCGCCUGCCCGCCCCGCCCAUCCUUCCUCCUGGGCAACCCAGAGGAUGGCGUGAGGACUCCUGGAAGCCCAGAGGACCGGACCAGGGGCGUGGUGGGGAGCCGUAGACCCGAGUUUUUAUCCUUCUCUGGCGCCGACACUCGGCUGCGGAAUCGAGUUUGAGCUCGGUGUAGCUGAAGUUUAAAUUGUAGCUGUUUCAAAGGUAGACCCCACCUCACCCCCACCCCUGGACCAAGACCUCUGGAAGCGUCCUGCCUGGAAGCCGCUUGUGGGGAGGGCUCUCCUAGGGUCUCCAGGCUCCCGCUGGAGCACGCCUGGAGAUGCCUUGGGAGUCUGAGGAACCCCAGAUUCAGCACCCCUGCUUAACCUGCUUUUAAGAAGAAAAAAAUGGAACUUGAUAAACUUCACUCAAAGGAGAGACCCACUAAUAACUCCACACACCUCACACCGAGUGAAGACGCUGAGACAAUGUAUGUGUGCUCCAGGAAUGACUGGAUGAAACAAAAAGAGAGUCUGGAUGCCAUUAAAAUGUUUGACUAUUGGAUUCCCACGGUUUGGGAUGGGAAGCAGAACUCGGUGAAACUGUAGGUUCUGUGUCCGGGCCAAGCGUUGCUGAAAGGUGGAAGAAUUCAUGGAAAGAAGGUUAUACCAGAAACCAAGAUCUGCUUUUUAAAAGGGAACAUGUACGCUCAUGUUUUGGCUUGAAUUCACUGCCUUUCACCUAUGUGUGGUCCCUCCUGUGCCGAGUCAGCAUGGAGUUCAGCAGGUGGUGGAAGACAAACAGCUCAGAGCUGGACUCAGAACUUGGCAGAGUCCUGCUUUCAACUACAUGCAGCCAGAAAACUCUGGAAAACUGAACUGUUUAUUGGGGUCAAACUUUGUUGGCUGCAUUCUACAUUCUGGUGCCUAAUUCCAAGAAACCUGAGAGUUCUGAGGUUGAUCCUGGCCUUCUAAAGCACUGGGAAGUCAUUGUCAAGGUAGGUAGAUAAAAUAUAUUCUGCUUAACAUGUUGUGGUUUAAUACUUUGUAAACACUUAGGCAUAGGAAACAUGAG